ensembl:lncRNA
GACACUCUCUUAAAUAUCUUGUAAAUAAACAAUUCCAUAGUAUUCUAAUGGAAGAAGGUCAGAUGGCAGGAAUGUGUGUUAUGAACCGAAAAGACAUUCAAUACUGCGCCAAACUGUCAAAACUCCCAAUUUGCUAUAUAAUGAUCCUGUCAAAUGGCAUCGCAAUCAUCAUCUUCUUUAGCUCACCAUGGUAACACCCCUCUUACAUUCUGACAUCCCUGGAUAGGCUGAUGUGAUGAGUAGCACAAAAUGCAUUUGAAAAAGCAGACGGGAGGGAGGACUGACACAAUCCCAGGGCCAUAUCACGACGUUGUUAUGGGACACCGAAAUGAGAUCGAAGACGAGAUUGUCUCCGUGAGGUCAAUGUUCCCCUUUUCGGUAACGCAAGCCCUGAACACGGCUCGCACAGAUAAUCUAAAAGUGUUAAUGUGAAAACAUAAUUUCUUUUCUCAGAGAACUCAUAGAGAGCAGAAACUCUGGAAGAAGUCUAAGAGCAGCUCGACUGGAAAGAAAGGAAGGGCUUUUGGUCAAGGCUGUGUCACUGGGGUAAAGAAAGUCUUUCAUGACAUCAAUUCUCUCUGUCUGUAGCAUUAUAUAGGGGCGAUGAGCGGAAGGAGGCCGCUGGCGUCCCCAACGCCUGGGUAGUGUGAAGUGUUCUAGUCUAAGGUAGGGCACUAGGUAGAGAAUAGGGCAUCACUUGGGAUACAGGCUGUGUCUGUUUCUAGGUGAUAACUAAGAUGUUCUGACAUUCUGUUCCUAAAAUAUGCAGAGGGUUUUGGGGAGGCGGUUAGUAUCUAGAGACAUGAUUAUCUUUCCUCUGUGCCAUUUCUCUCUCCUCUGUCUCCCUCUCUCCCUCCUAUCUUUCUUUAUAUCUCUCUGACUCGCUCUUUCACUUUGAGGGCACUCGCUCUUCCACCUGUUUCUCAUCUGCUCUCAAUCACUACCUCUCAUGCGUCCUCACCCACUUUCUACCUCACCCACUUUCUGUCUCACCCACCUUUAUUCUCACUGAACUAUAUUUUCAUUUUUAAAGUUUUACUUUUUUGUGAAUCCUCUUUAGAGUUGCACAGCUGAGACUAAUAUGGAAACCAAGUCAGAAUGAUGAAUACGGAAAGCCUCCAACCCUCUCUUAUUACCUACAUCAAUCUUACAGAAAGUCAUCUGUUAUAAAAAUAUUUUCACUCCAGUUAAAACAACUCAAAAUAGGACACCGAUCAAAUUGCAAUAUCAGGUAAAUUUGGAUCAAACUUUGGUUGAAUAUCUAGGUUUUAGCUUAUAAAACAACACAGCUUAGAUGUUGAUUACACAAAAAUCUGUUUUCUGGAUAACUUCCGCACACACACACACACACAGACAGCCACACUGAGAGAAUGCACAAACUAAUGAGCAUGCAACUCAUCUGCCGGGAGAGAGAAAACAGCAUUGAGAUGAGCCAAAAGGGCUGUUUGUCAGCACAAUCAAACAGAAAAGGAAUAGCGCUUUGUCUGUAGGUGAGUGUUUCUGUGCAUGUUUCUCUUUGAGUGUAUCAUUUCUGUGUGUGUUAUAUUUCCGUGUGCAUUUCUGUGUCUCUCGCGGGCAGAAGAGGACAGAAAGGCUUUACUGAAACCCGACGGGGUUUGAAAUCGUCACUCGGCUCAGUUGUCAGGGGAUCAUUAGACUCUGAAAACCGCUCGGAGGCUCGAUGCUGCUAAAAAAAAAAAAGCCAAUGUGGUGUAAUGAGGAUUUGGAGUGCGCCGCUCCUUUUAUACCACCUACUCCUCCACUCCUGUCGUCUCCUCCCCUCUUCUCAUCCUCCACAAACACAAAUAAAGAGGAUCCACCUGUUGGAGGUGUGCUGUAUCCAGGUAGGCGUUACCAAGGCACUGUAUUCAGCAGUAAGUGAGGUAUGUAAAAACAGGGCGGCUGGAAGGGCAGCUUUCAGCCCUGGGAAACACAACAUUCCAUUUCAAAACAGACUGAGAGCUCUCCAGGAACCAGUGGCUAGACAGUUACAUAAUGGCCUGUAAUGCUGUACUAUCUCUAGGUGAUAUCUAUGACUAUCUAUGACAGACUGUCUGUGAGCAUCCUCAAAUAUAAUUACCUAAAAAUAGAAGCAAUCAGCGAAGGCCGGAACUUUCUCCAGACAGAUGGCAUUCUGUCACUUUGUAUUGGAUAAUCAAAUCUGCUUGUAUUUAAAACCCUAUAGGCAGAGACAUCCAGUGUAUGGGGAAAUAUGUGCUGCAAAUUACCAUGGGGAAGGUAUUUGUGUGUGUGUGUGUGUGUGUGUGUGUGUGAGUGUGCGUAUGUGUGUGCAGAUAUAAAAAUGUAUUAGGGACUCAAAGGGUUCAUAGCCAUUCGGUCUGAGCUGCAACUGAAUGGAAGGUGAUAAUACCACCUCAACUCGCCGAACCACUUUGGGUAAUUUGAAAUGAAAUUAUAGGAAAUGGAUAAAACAAAAACAGCAGUAACGAACGGUUAUAUGAACGCCAAUAGAUUCAAGAUAAUAUGACUACAACACCACAGCCCAUGAAAUCACUAGGGAAAUUCAAUCUUUGCCUUUUCCAUCAACUCGCGAUUGGAACGGGCACCGGGCAAUACCAUAUACACACUGGAGGGAUAAGCCAGAGCUUUAAAAGUAAUAAAGUUAUAAAACCAAUUACCGAGUGAGGCUGAGAACAAACAGGCAGAACAAUACAGUGAUUGGUCUCAAAGACUUUGACUAUUGUUUUUUUCUUGCUAACACUGAAUUAUGUAAGUGCUUUAAAAUCUUCAGUGGAAAACAAAUGUUUGUAAUGCGGCAGAUUUAAACAGUGAAAAGCUGUUUGGCUGCGCCUGAUUGGUGUCUGGUAAAUGAUGAUGGCAUUGUGGGACAGGGAAUUGGAAUGAGACAUACAUACCUGUUGUAUAGGCUUACAGGACGUGUGGACAUGUGGAUGGGAUAGAAGCAAAUUACAUGUAAUGGGGUACAAUUUGCCUCAGUGUUACGAAAGCACAAUCUACGCCAUUCUUCCAAAACUCCACGUUAGCUCCUGCUACAGGAUCUAACAGAGGACAAACAGUUCAGAGAGUCUUUUAAAGCGGCUCUAUUUUAAAGUGGAUGUUGAACGACAGGGCGGCAUAAAGGACAAGGCAUGAAAAUUCCCCAUUUUAAACACAGCCCUACAUCCUAUGACAUGUCUAACUACCUAACUCCAGUCAGACUUUAGCCCCGCCACUCCAGCUAGAUUCUAGCCCCUCCCAUCCAGCCACUCUAGCCCCUCUCUUCCAGACAGAUUUUAGUCCCUCCCCAAGAGACAGAUUCUAGCCCCUCCCUCACAGCUAGACUCUCACCCCUCCCCUUGUAGCCACAACUAGCGCCCUUUCUUACAUCUGAAAAUAAUGAAAGCUAAGUGAUGGCAGUCGUCUAUCUCCACCCACCAAUGCCCCAGCUGCUCAGCUACGCCAAACUUUCCCCGAUAAUUCAUAGAUUACGAUGCGGGAGACGGGAAUUGUAAGCAUAAACACUGUUUUCAUAUCAUCUGCUUAAUCAUUUCUAUUUGAAGCUUCACAGGAGUAAUUGCAAAAACCACCGAUAUUCAACUCUUCUGCUAUCAAAGCUAUGAUGAGACCUUCCACAGAAUAUCUUCCAUGAGCCAAGGAAAUUUUUAGCAAUGCAGCAAAGUUACUACCUGCUGGGAUCUGAUGAAGCAUUUCUUAACGUGAAAAACACUGUCAAGCAGUCAAUGAUUUUGGUCCUCAUUUUUGUCCAGACCGUCAGAACAGACAAAAGAGAGACAGAGAGAGGGAGAGAAAUUACCAGGUAAAGAAUGUAUUGUUGCAGAGAGACAACAAAUGUAAUUAUUUUGUUGGUAAACAAAGACUUGCUUCUCUUUUCUCCUCCAUCCUCCAUGUUCUCCGCCCUGUCCUCCAGGUUCCUCCACUACUGAUAUGUUCUCCGCCCUGUCCUCCAUGGAAAAGUGUGAGGUGUUCCCUAGGUCCUUCAGUAUCCAUGGACAUAAGUGGCUUAGUCCUAGCUUUGCUUCAUGUCUAACGUUCACUGACAGAUGUAGAUUGGACCUGAACAUAGUGCAGGAAGGUGCUGACACCUAGUACAAUGCACCAGUGUGUUUCUCCACAGGUCACUGUGCAGUGGGUUUGGGGCUUUGAAUGGUGGCUUGGAGUUCGCCAACCCCAAUCUCAGCACGGUCUGUGUUCUGGUGUUGAAAUCAAAGGCUGCUUCCCAGAUCCAACAGUUUUCCGAUCAUUCAUCACAGAUCUUGUAACAAUGCGAGAGCAGAUGUUUCAUGAGGCAGCUUCCCAGGGUUAUACCCAGAGCUGUUAUCCACUGCCACAUCUUUAAAAUCUGGCACUUCUUGUUUGCAAACAACUUUUAGAUUUUUUCUUUAGGUCAAAAACAUCAGUUUGGGUCUAGUUUAAAAGUGCCCUCAUCAGAAUGAUCUGAAAUGUCACGGCACUAGAAACUGAAGAGGGACAGUGUAUCAUUAAGAGGGGAAGCAAAUUAAAUCUGAAUGAGUCUUCAGGAAUUUGCAAAAAAGGAAGUGCAAUGAAUAUGCUUUGGACCAGAUUACUGAUGUAGCCAUCACAUGCUCAGUUGCACACGCAACCACAAACAUCCAAACAUACAAACACACAAACACACACACAGAUCCUUGAC